rnacentral:rRNA from 1 species
UGGGGAAUUUUGGACAAUGGGGGAAACCCUGAUCCAGCCAUCCCGCGUGUGCGAUGAAGGCCUUCGGGUUGUAAAGCACUUUUGGCAGGAAAGAAACGUCAUGGGUUAAUACCCCGCGAAACUGACGGUACCUGCAGAAUAAGCACCGGCUAACUACGUGCCAGCAGCCGCGGUAAUACGUAGGGUGCAAGCGUUAAUCGGAAUUACUGGGCGUAAAGCGUGCGCAGGCGGUUCGGAAAGAAAGAUGUGAAAUCCCAGAGCUCAACUUUGGAACUGCAUUUUUAACUACCGGGCUAGAGUGUGUCAGAGGGAGGUGGAAUUCCGCGUGUGGCAGUGAAAUGCGUAGAUAUGCGGAGGAACACCGAUGGCGAAGGCAGCCUCCUGGGAUAACACUGACGCUCAUGCACGAAAGCGUGGGGAGCAAACAGG